rnacentral:rRNA from 1 species
GACGAACGCUGGCGGCGUGCUUAACACAUGCAAGUCGAACGGAAAGGCCCUGCUUUUGUGGGGUGCUCGAGUGGCGAACGGGUGAGUAACACGUGAGUAACCUGUCCUUGACUUUGGGAUAACUUCAGGAAACUGGGGCUAAUACCGGAUAGGAGCUCCUGCUGCAUGGUGGGGGUUGGAAAGUUUCGGCGGUUGGGGAUGGACUCGCGGCUUAUCAGCUUGUUGGUGGGGUAGUGGCUUACCAAGGCUUUGCCGGGUAGCCGGCCUGAGAGGGUGACCGGCCACAUUGGGACUGAGAUACAGCCCAGACUCCUACGGGAGGCAGAAGUGGGGAAUAUUGCAAAAUGGGCGGAAGCCUGAUGCAGCAACGCCGCGUGCGGGAUGACGGCCUUCGGGUUGUAAACCGCUUUCGCCUGUGACGAAGCGUGAGUGACGGUAAUGGGUAAAGAAGCACCGGCUAACUACGUG